UCCUUUAUGGCAGAAAAUUGCAAUAGAUUUAGAUUUUAUUAAUAUCCUU
rnacentral:tRNA from 1 species